AUCCCCUCUCCUUACUCCAGGUGCUACUAGUGCAAUGUGGUGUCCUGGCAUUGUGUGGGGAUAGAGGACUAGGCUGUCUUCCCUCCCCAGCUGUAACUCUUAUACCUGGGGCCUAUAAGAGAGCCAACAUG
rnacentral:snoRNA from 1 species